rnacentral:rRNA from 1 species
UACGGAGGGUGCAAGCAUUUAUCGGAUUUAUUGGGCGUAAAGGGCGCGUAGGCUGAAGAGAAAGUCUUGUGUGAAAUCCCGGGGCUCAACCCCGGAACAGCACGGGAAACUCCUUUUCUAGAGGGUAGGCGGAGAAAACGGAAUUCCACAAGUAGCGGUGAAAUGCGUAGAUAUGUGGAAGAACACCGGUGGCGAAGGCGGUUUUCUAGCUUACUCCUGACGCUGAGGCGCGAAAGCAAGGGGAUCAAACAGG